rnacentral:lncRNA from 1 species
CAUAUGAAAAUUGCCUAUUACAAUACAACCACAGAAGAAAUGACUGAGGCGAUUGUUUUUAAUAUUCAUUGUCUCUUUAAUUCCAGACUGCUAGUAGAAAUUCAUUUGAAAAUUUAACAAAGCCUGACAUCAGCAAAGUGGAGCUUUUAAAAGACGUCCAAAGCAAAAAAGAUCUUAUCAUUCGGUUGGUAACUCAUGAUAUUAAUCAAGAAGUUUCAGAAGAGAGCUUAACUUCUGAUGAAGAUGAAGUUGUUUUACACGAGGUUGUAAAAGAAUUUCCAGAAGCCCCACUUGAAGAUCAAGUAAAAGAAGAGGCUCUCCCCAAGUCACUGAUGAGCAAGAGCAAUCUGAAAAAAAUUUUGUCACUGGGAAAAUGUUGUCACCCCAAAUCCAGUGUAACUGCAAUUACUGAAGCAUCACCAACACAACGCACAGAAUCUGAGCAGACACAAAUAAGAACUGUUUCUAAAGUUGAUGUAACUACCUCAGAAUUCUCAACUGACAGAAACUCUUCCUCUUGGGAGAAAAAGACACAACUGAGUUUUGUCACUCUCUACCAACGCAAAAGUUCCCUGGCCAGCCUAUAUACUUCAAAUGACAGCACUCCAGGUAAAACAUAUGUAUCAUUUUAUAAUAAAGCUCCC